rnacentral:SRP_RNA from 1 species
UAGUCAGGCCCGUACGGCAAGAGAUUGUGAAACCCGCCAGGCCUGGAAGGGAGCAACGGUAGCAAAUCCUCCUGAGCGUUGCGGAUACCUGGCUAACU